GAUUGGGAAGAGACAGUUUCAACAAGAUGCUGCCGAUACCUACACCUGAGAUGUAGAAUGUUUUUGUCCUGACUAUAGUAUUAUCUCUAGCAUGUUGUGUAUAUUAUUUCUUCAGUCAUCACAAUUACUGCGAAUGAUCGCUUACAUGUUACUUAUUUUUGUAGAUAAUGCAAGAGGCUGACCUGCUAGCGCUACUUAUGGACCAGAUCUUUAACUAAAUCCCAAUCUACCAUAUUGACAAGAAGUACCUCGUUAGGGACUGACUCUGUGCUCAGGCCUCUUUUACAGAAGCUCUAGGCCUACGACAUUUGAAGUAGCCAGCAAAAAGUAGCGUCUUACAUAUAUUGUAAUAAUAGGCAUACAUAUUGUAAUUUUCAAUUUUCAGUGUUAUUUGAAGAAUUUCAUGUGUUCCCAGUUC